AAACUCCUUUACUGUGUUAACCUCUACCAUUUCAGCUGGAAGGCUAUUCCAUGCAUCCACUACCCUCUCAGUAAAGUAAUACUUCCUGAUAUUAUUUUUUAAACCUUUGUCCCUCUAAUUUAAGACUGUCCUCUUGUUGUGGUAGUUUUUCUUCUUUUAAAUAUAGUCUCCUCCUUUACAGUGUUGAUUCCCUUUAUAUAUUUAAAUGUUUCUAUCAUAUCCCCCCUGUCUCGUCUUUCCUCCAAACUAUACAUGUUAAGAUCCUUUAACCUUUCCUGGUAAAUUUUAUCCCGCAAUCCAUGAACCAGUUUAGUAGCCCUUCUCUGAACCCUCUCUAAGGUAUCAAUAUCCUUCUGAAG